GCGUGUUCUGGGUGUCUGCCACUUGGACUUCAUGCAAGCUUGAGCGCAUGCUGAUAGCACCACUAUUUCUGUCCUAACUGAUUUCCAUUGACACUUGAGGAUUAGUCCUACAAAGACUGAGGUAGCAGCAUUCAAAGCCAUACAUCUUUGGAGGCGUACAAGUCACGGAAUUCAGCUGAUGUGCAGAGUUUUGCUGCUUGAUCAUCCAUAAAGUUUCCAUCUAUUUUUCAAAGGAUGUGAUUCGGUCACAGAAUGUUUUGGACCCCAUUUACAUCGGAUUGUAUUACUGUCUGCUUGUGAAGGGAUCACCUGAAACUGCUGUUAACACCAGGAACUUCUGUGUCAGAGUUCAUGCAGAGGUGACGACUCUGAUGCCAAAGUACAAUCGAAGCUGCUCCAGAAAGAUGAAAAAAUCCUCCAGUUUGUCUCUCAGCUGAUGGACAGAUUCUCUCACGGCAUCGAAAGGGUGGAGAGAGCUGAAGGGCACAACGGGGAUGUCUGUAGAUCCAGGAGCUGCCGAGAGAGACUGGAGACUCUAUAGAAAACAAAUCAAAACUCAUCACCUCCACACGUCACACAAAAAUCUGCUCUUGUGCAGCCUUGAAUCAGAAAUCACACGCUGUUCAUUUAUUUAGCAAGAGAAAUACUGUGUCCCUGACUGAGCCAAGUUUUUUUCUCCAUUGCUGAGGUCUAAAAGUCACUUCAUAUUCAGUAACAUUAUGACUAAACUACACUAACAAUAUUGGAUGUAAAUUAAACUUUAAAUAAAUGGAGUUAAAUAAUGGCACAACUGCCUUCUGCAGAGGUGCUUUACAGCUGAAUGAAAUUGGUUUCAUUUUGCAACAUCAACACUGAUAUUAAACCGAGCUGAAUCAACAUUAAAAUGAUUCAAGCUGAAUAACAACACUAUUUUCUUUAGUUAAACUCAUCAGAAACUGAACUGACUGGAGCUGAACAGUGACUUGCAAUAACCGCUUUACAGCUGAAUUUGAAUUAGUGUAAUAUUUAAUGAAGUAUGCAUAUUUGCUCAUUAUUACAGUGAAGCUGCUUUGAAACAAUAAACUAUCUGUAUAAAGCGUUAUAUACUUGUCAUGACUUUAUUCCUGUUUUCCUAGAUCUGUGUUACCAGCAGGGAAUAGAUGUGGUUGUGCUUCAGCUCAGCGUCUCUCCUCUUCAGAGCAUCAAUCUCUUGCUCCAGCUGCUCAUUGAGUUCUUCAGCUCGACUCGCUGCAAUCUUUUCCUGAUCUCUGAUCAUCUGCGUGACCUCAGAGCUGCUUCUCUCAAUGGAGCGGAUGAGCUCAGUAAAGAUGCUCUCAGUGUCCUCCACUGUUGUGUGUGCAGAGCGCUGUUAGACACACACACAGCACAAUCACACAGUGAGCCAAAGAGCUGGAGCAGUGUGACUUCUCUUCUUCUCCAGACUCACCUUACGAGACGCUGCAGCUUCUCUCAGCUGCUGGAGAUCUUUCUGUCUCUGUUGGAUUCUGUGCUGGAACUUCAUCGCCGUCUCCUUCAGCAGUUUCUGAAGGACAAACCAAUAAAUGAGACUAAUAACACAAAACCAUUAACUUAAAUGUCAAAAGUCUACUGAAUCUUGUGUCUUGUCUUUAAAGCAUGGCAAAAUAUUAUUAAAUAAGAAUGUCCAAUAUACUUAAAAUGUGUAGUUAAAAUUUUCAG